rnacentral:rRNA from 1 species
GGAUACACAGUCUCCUCGCAUGGGGAGAUUGGGAAAGACGGUGCAAGCUGUCACUUACAGAUGGGCCUGCGGUGCAUUAGCUAGUUGGUGGGGUAACGGCUCACCAAGGCGACGAUGCAUAGCCGACCUGAGAGGGUGAUCGGCCACACUGGGACUGAGACACGGCCCAGACUCCUACGGGAGGCAGCAGUAGGGAAUCUUCCGCAAUGGACGAAAGUCUGACGGAGCAACGCCGCGUGAGUGAUGAAGGUUUUCGGAUCGUAAAGCUCUGUUGCCAGGGAAGAACAGCCAGGCGAGUAACUGCGCUUGGAAUGACGGUACCUGAGAAGAAAGCCCCGGCUAACUACGUGCCAGCAGCCGCGGUAAUACGUAGGGGGCAAGCGUUGUCCGGAAUUAUUGGGCGUAAAGCGCGCGCAGGCGGCUUUGUAAGUCUGGUGUUUAAUCUCAGAGCUCAACUCUGAUUCGCAUCGGAAACUGCAAGGCUUGAGUACAGAAGAGGAAAGUGGAAUUCCACGUGUAGCGGUGAAAUGCGUAGAGAUGUGGAGGAACACCAGUGGCGAAGGCGACU